AUACAGAGGUCUCAAGCGUUGUUCGGAAUCACUGGGCGUAAAGCGUGCGUAGGCUGUUUCGUAAGUCGUGUGUGAAAGGCGCGGGCUCAACCCGCGGACGGCACAUGAUACUGCGAGACUAGAGUAAUGGAGGGGGAACCGGAAUUCUCGGUGUAGCAGUGAAAUGCGUAGAUAUCGAGAGGAACACUCGUGGCGAAGGCGGGUUCCUGGACAUUAACUGACGCUGAGGCACGAAGGCCAGGGGAGCGAAAGGGAUUAGAUACCCCUGUAGUCCUGGCAGUAAACGGUGCACGCUUGGUGUGCGGGGAAUCGACCCCCUGCGUGCCGGAGCUAACGCGUUAAGCGUGCCGCCUGGGGAGUACGGUCGCAAGAUUAAAACUCAAAGAAAUUGACGGGGACCCGCACAAGCGGUGGAGUAUGUGGCUUAAUUCGAUGCAACGCGAAGAACCUUACCUGGGCUUGACAUGUAAUGAACAACAUGUGAAAGCAUGCGACUCUUCGGAGGCGUUACACAGGUGCUGCAUGGCCGUCGUCAGCUCGUGUCGUGAGAUGUUUGGUUAAGUCCAGCAACGAGCGCAACCCCUGUUGCCAGUUACCAGCACGUGAAGGUGGGGACUCUGGCGAGACUGCCCAGAUCAACUGGGAGGAAGGUGGGGACGACGUCAGGUCAGUAUGGCCCUUAUGCCCAGGGCUGCACACGUACUACAAUGCCCAGUACAGAGGGGGCCGAAGCCGCGAGGCGGAGGAAA
rnacentral:rRNA from 1 species